GUUGCCGUGCUAAUCACAUGACCCUGUCAGAAUAAUAACUUGACAACUCGGUGACUCCACAAAAAAAAUUAAAGAUAACACAGUACAAAACAGACCAUAGACCAGCAAAUAUGUACGCUCAACUAUUGCCAGGAAUGAAUGAUUCAUCAAUAACCGAGUAACAGGACCAGCGUGGGAAAGGAGCCGUUUUAUAACGGUGAUGGAUCGAAUGUGAUGAAUAGCAAUAACUAAGUGUCUAUAACUAUAGCUCGUGUAUCUCCAAUGAUGGUCUUGUUUUCUUUAUUUCUUUUCCUCUGUCAUAGGGAACGCUGUUGCGACGGGCCACGCCGCACCCCGGAGAGCUGAGGAGCAUGAAGAAGGUGGUGGAGAAUCUCCACCACGGUCUGAACGCUGCCAAAGGCCUGGACUCCAACAAAAACGAGCCUGUGCUGUCUCUGCCUUGCUGUGUGAGGUGGCAGAAUGUGGAGGAGGAGAGAUGGAGUUUGAUGUUGCACUUGGUCAAGAGAAGCUGACUGAAACAAGCCUACAGCUUACACACCUACUGCCAGCUGGGUAUAUACCGGUGCUGAUGGAGGACCGGCAGAGCGAGGCGGUGUACCUAGAGAUCAGUCCUCUUUUCCUCCAGGCCGAGAACAAACACAAACUCUUCCAGUUCGUCUCGCAGUUCCUCUAAGGCUGACGCAGGAGAAACACACGUCUACACCGCUCUAGGUUUAGUUACAAAAUAUCAGUGUUUCUGGUAAUUCGCUUGGAGCAAGAU